rnacentral:rRNA from 1 species
AUUGAACGCUGGCGGCAGGCCUAACACAUGCAAGUCGAACGCGUGGCGGACGGGUGAGUAAUGUCUGGGAAACUGCCCGAUGGAGGGGGAUAACUCCUGGAAACGGUAGCUAAUACCGCAUACCCUCGGAUGUGCCCCGAUGGGCUUAGCUUGUAGGUGGGGUAACGGCUCACCUCGGCGACGAUCCCUAGCUGGUCUGAGAGGAUGACCAGCCAAACUGGAACUGAGACAGGGUCCAGACUCCUACGGGAGGCAGCAGUGGGGAAUAUUGCACAAUGGGCGCAAGCCUGAUGCAGCCAUGCCGCGUGUAUGAAGAAGGCCUUCGGGUUGUAAAGUACUUUCAGCGGGGAGGCGUUACCCGCAGAAGAAGCACCGGCUAACUCCGUGCCAGCAGCCGCGGUAAUGC